UAGGGAAUCUUCCGCAAUGGACGCAAGUCUGACGGAGCAACGCCGCGGGAGUGAAGAAGGAUUUCGGUUCGUAAAACUCUGUUGUUAGAGAAGAACAGCGCAUAGAGUAACUGUUAUGCGUGUGACGGUAUCUAACCAGAAAGCCACGGCUAACUACGUGCCAGCAGCCGCGGUAAUACGUAGGUGGCAAGCGUUGUCCGGAUUUAUUGGGCGUAAAGCGAGCGCAGGCGGUCAAUUAAGUCUGAUGUGAAAGCCCCCGGCUCAACCGGGGAGGGUCAUUGGAAACUGGUUGACUUGAGUGCAGAAGAGGAGAGUGGAAUUCCAUGUGUAGCGGUGAAAUGCGUAGAUAUAUGGAGGAACACCAGUGGCGAAGGCGACUCUCUGGUCUGUAGCUGACGCUGAGGCUCGAAAGCGUGGGUAGCAAACAGG
rnacentral:rRNA from 1 species